rnacentral:rRNA from 1 species
UAGGGAAUAUUGCAAAAUGGGCGAAAGCCCGAUGCAGCAACGCCGCGUGGGCGAUGAAGGCCUUCGGGUCGUAAAGCCCUUUUUGAGGGGAUGAGGAAGGACAGUACCCUCAGAAUAAGCCUCGGCUAACUACGUGCCAGCAGCCGCGGUAAAACGUAGGAGGCGAGCGUUAUCCGGAUUUACUGGGCGUAAAGCGCGUGCAGGCGGAUUGGAGAGUUGGAUGUGAAAGCUCCCGGCUUAACUGGGAGAGGUCGUUCAAUACUUCCAGUCUUGAGUGCAGUAGAGGGAAGUGGAAUUCCGUGUGUAGUGGUGAAAUGCGUAGAUAUCCGGAGGAACACCAGUGGCGAAAGCGGCCUCCUGGACUGUAACUGACGCUCAGACGCGAAAGCUAGGGUAGCAAACG